rnacentral:snoRNA from 1 species
AGCCUCACCCUAGAUAAGAGUGGGCACUGUUGACUGGUGUCCAAAAUUGGUCAGUGUGGCUACACUGAGACACAGGCGAUGCCUCUGUCAUAGUGAGUGUGUCCCUGUGGUGACAAUGACACCUGCAACACUU